AACGUUUUGAGCGAAAAGUGAAAGAAGCAAGUUGUCGUUUUGUUCGAAAACUCUUUUGCUUUUUGAAGCUCGAGGUGAUAAAAACCUGGAUGGAACAUGGAAUGGCAGUUCUGGUGCCAGAGCACAUUGAAAAAGCUUCUGGAUGUUGAAUUAGGAUCAGACAUUGAAUUAAAACUGGAAUGAAAUGACUGAAUUUGAUUGAAUAAGAAUCCGAGAAAGACACCCAUAGUUAGAUUUCUUUUUGAAUCACCUACAUCUUAUAAGAAAGAGGUUUAUAUAGCAGUUAAGAUUAUUAAAGAAAAUACAGCUCCAGAUCGAAUGCACUGCAGAUAGACGACUCUCCCUUGGCCACUCCAGUCGCCCAAAGAAUUUGUUUCUCUAGCGUUUAUGUACCACUGUUACCCACGUGAAUCCAGAAUUUUGUGAUUAGGUCAUUACAUGAACAAGAUUCACCGAGUUUGGAAUUAAUUUGAUUACUGCAUGAGCUGGGGUCAUGUUGCUUCAGGUAAACUUGCAUUGUUUUUAUUAUAUGUUCUACUAUUAGGCAUUAGGCGGAAAGGGAGGGCAACCUCCGUGGAAGACUUUUUAAGGAAACAUGCUCGUAUCCAUUUUACAUAUGGCGGAAACAACGAAAACACCCAUGCAGCCAGCCUGUUAGUCGGGCCUCGAAGCAUGAGUUGCUUAUACUAAUGGUGUGGAAUCAACGUAUGAAAGGCUUGGACAAUUGCCGUUGCUUUUAGUAUUUUCUAUCGUAUUAAGGUCAGAAAUAUACUUUAUACUAAAUUUUGAAAUUGCACCUAUUUUUCAUGUCUGUGUGUGCCCUGUUAUUCGAUGAAACAAUCAUAACUUAACAAAAAGCUUGAUGGCUCUUCUCACAUUUGCACUUUUUAUUAACGCAUUCAGAAACUGGUUAUAAUAAACUAGCCUUCUGUGAUUUUUAAUUUCGAUAUCAUUGUCAAAAUAAUUAUUCUUCUUUAUUAUGUAUUUUAGUUUUUCUUAAGUAUUUCGAUAUUUCCUCCCCAAUCAUUAUUUGCAUUUUGAAUUGGUUUGCAUUUUGAAUUACAGUUUUCUAAAAAAAAUAAAAUAAAUUAAUAAAUAAAUAAUAAAAAUAAAAAAAGAAUAAAAUGAAAAAUUAAAUAAUUUUUUUCUCACGGGAUUCUGUGAGUAAAAAGUUAUUACAUUUAUACUCUUUUCAUAAAAUGUUUCCUGUUUGGCAGUUUGUGUGUGUGAUGACAACAAGGAAGGCAAUUACAGAAGAGAUAAUAGUAAAAAGUAAAAUUAUUUGCUUUUAUUCCAAUAGAUAGAUAUGUAGACAGAAAUUUGAUGGCAUUGAAGAAUUCAAGGUGAAACACCCGCGAACAGAAUGGCAGUUAAAAUGUCUUUUGUGAGGAAUUCCUCAAACAAAGGAAAGCCACAACAAUGCAUAACAGAUGGUAAUUCUCAUUCUGUGUUUGUAGACACCGCUGAAACUGUAAGUCGUUCUCCUUGAAAUC